CCUAUUGGGAAGUGGUGGGAGAAGUUUCUACAUUUAUUUAUUGUGUAUGUGUAUGUGUGUGUCUAUGGGUGGUGGGAGAAAGGGACAGUGCCUGGACUGUAGCAUUUCAAUAUAAAUAUUUUGCUCAAUAACAACAAAAAUCUAUUAUAACUGGCCUUCCUAUUCUCCCAUUUGUCUCCAAGAGAAGUCAGAUUUAAUCAGCUGAAUGGAUUCCUUGGCAAUAAUAGUGAUUUCUAAGAUGAAAAAGAACAAUGGAUGAACGAACACGGUUAUAUUUCUCAGCUGUAAAAAAAAUCAAAACUCUGACUCAUCAAAUUAAAUUACUCAUUAAGACCCAGGCUAAGUAACUGUACUCUGUAUUCAGGUACUGAUGCGGCCGGGCAGAAACAAGGUGAUGCUGUGAUGGAGGUGGGUCUUGUAUCUUAUCUGUUGCUUUCAUUGGUUAAUAAUAAAGAAACUGCCUCAGCCCUCAUAGGACAGAAAAUUAGGUAGGUGGAGUAAACAGAAGAGAAUGCUGGGAAAAAGAAGCUUAGUCAAGGAGUCGCCAUGAUUCUCCCGCUCCAGACAGAGGCAGGUUAAGAUCUUUCCUGCUAGAGUGUUUGGGGUGGAUGUUUUCCCUGCUCUUGAAAGUGAACAUCUUAUUCUUCUGCUGGCACAAGACGCUGAUAUCUGACGGAGCAGUCUGCAGACCUCAGCUAAGGCUGUGGGGAGGCAGCAUUCUUGGCGAGGGUUCAAUCACAGGGUAACGUGCUGGGGAAGACUGUGAGAGCAGGGACCGUCCCUAAGUGGUGACCAGCAAGAUUUGUCACUUGUUCUUCACCUCACAUCAGCUGCUUCUGCUCCUGGUUUAUUGCCUCGGGGAAAACGAAGAAAGGCCAAUUAAAAUACUGCUUAAACUUUACCACAUUGCAGUUCAGAAUCGCAAAGGCGCUCUGUGCUCUUAAAAUAGCCCAGCAUUUAAGGACUUUCUGACAAGGUCGCUAAUGGAGAAAUGUAUGUGUGGAAUGUCUCGGUUCAAUGACAUUCUACCCAUGACUCUAUAGCAGUUGUCAUGACAACAGGUCUAAGACUAAUGGUGAGGACUUACUCAGCUCUGUAAGCUCAUAGCACCACUAACACACAGUGAAGUACGGAUCACAUAAAUAACGUCUCUAACUACGCAUCCAUCCAUCCUGCCACGUACAAGUUUCUACCAGGCACCAAGGACACGGUGGAAAACCUGCGCACAUUUCUGAGAGUUCCUAAGCGGGGUGAAGUGGUGUACAGGGCUGGGGGUUUAUCACCGGGUUCUCGGGAAAUGUGCCGGGAGGGCACAGGUCUCAGCGGCAGCCACAGGAGGCUACUAAGCAACAAGAGAUGAGCACACUUCAGACCGACACGAAUUUGCUCUCCAUCCCUGGCCUGCUUUCACGUAAGCAAUUGUGUAACCUCAGGGCAUCAUUUAGCUUCUCUAAAAUGGAAAGAACCAAGACUGAAGGGAUGCAGUGCUUGGAUUGACUGUCUACAAGCCUCAUUCAGUUCUCAUAGGGACAUCACGAGAAAAGCCAAGAACUGUAAGAUGUUAAUUUGUCCAAGGUCACAGAGUUAUUAAAUGGCAAAGCCAGGGUUUAAAUUCAAGGUCAGAUCCAUACAUUUCCCUGGGCAUCACUGCCUCCUUGAAAACAACUGGAACCACAUCCCCUGUACUGGGCUUCACUUCCUCCCUUGGAGGCCAGCUCUCAUCUUUCCCGUUCUCUACUAUUCUCCAAGCUCCACGCCAAGGUCAUGACUAAGGUGAGGACUUCUAAACUUGGACUACUCCCAUUCGCCCUUAAGCCGAGAGUAGGAAGAGCUCUAGAUUUCCCCAGGCCUCACAUCCUCCACUAGGAAGAAAAGAUAAAAUGCUACCUGCAAGACAUGCUAGGUCAGCGGAGGCACAAAGACUGUGGAAGUAACCAACUAAUACCUGGAUUUGAGCUAAGGCCUAUUCUCACAUGAUGAGAUCCAUGCCCAACGCUGCUUGGGGGACCAAGAACCAGAGACCUAGGGUAAAACAAAAUUCUACUGGUUUAAAUGAUAAUAAUUUUCACAAUAUAUAAAACAGCUUACCAUGCUUUUGUAACCAAACCAACCAAGCAAAUUCUGUAGAAUAAACAAUACCCUACACACC